UCAAGAUUUUGGAAUUUCACGGGCAACAGUAAAAAUUUGUUGUGAUUAUCAGAGUACUAUACAUCUAUUUAAACAUCCUCAGUAUCAUAAACGCACUAAACAUAUAGAUGUGAAGUAUCAUUUUAUCAGAUAACAGAUAGAAGAAAAAAAGAUCGAAGUUCUUAAAAUUCAUAUAUCUAAUAAUGCUUCAGACAUGCCGACGAAGGAACUAUUCAGUUCAAACUCCAAAAAUGCCUCGACAUCAUUAGAUUUGAGCUACCUAAAAAAGGAUAGUCAAAGAAGUGAUCAGUGAGGAGAAAAUAACAUUAAUAAACUAAAUGUUGAUUUCCAGGUGGAGAAUUGUAAAAAAAUAGAAAUUACUUUAGUGAAAUCAAACAUUUAAUCUUUCAAAUACACCUUCAAACUAAACUUGUAAAACCCUAUAUAAAGGGGAUCUAAGCUAGAAGCUAAGUUAUCAUGAUCUUAUCCUUUUUGUAGCUCUUUGAAAAUCCUCAAAGACUCUAGAUAUAGCUCCUUCAUGGAUGUAGGCCUUUGUUGUCGAACCACGUUAAAUUUCUCGUAUUCUUCUUUUUUUCUCCCAUAUUUGCAUGUUGUGAUUUACAAUUGAGAAACAUCUUAUUCUCCUUGCCUUCACUUCUUUAUUAUUCUCCUCACGACUGCAAGGCAGAGAGAGAGAGAACGUUGAGUGAUAAAAUUGUUUUGUCAAAAAUGAGAUCUGAAAAAUGGUGAGUAAUUGUGAAGAAGAAUCAUCCUUCGCAGUGAAGGAGAAACACCAGCUACGUGGCCACUUCAUCAGCCACUUGUUUUAUCCAAGACCUCAGCUUGGGUCAUCCUUUAUUUGUUUCUUUCAACAUUGGGCUUCAGUGGAUUGUUGAAAAAGCCCAACAAGAAAGGAGAAGAGCUCUGAUUUUGUGAGGAUGAAGAAGACGAGAAAAUAGGGCAGAUAUUUUCCAUUUAAAAUCAAGGCUAUUUUAUGAAUAAAGAAAAGAUGAUCCGGAUGAAAAUUGGCUAAAUUUGCAAUUUGUUUUAAAAAAUUCUAUAUUAUUAGUAACUUUCUAUAAAAAGAAUACCCAUUAUAAUUUCCCUUUUUUAAAACUCGAUUUUACCUACUUAAUAUUUCAAAUCUAUUUAAAAUCUUUAAAAUUAUUGGGCUGUGGGAUUUACUGGGCCUCAUUCAGCCCAUUUCAUAACGCUUAUGCUUUGAACUUUGAUCAGUUCAGUAUUCACUCUUCUCGCGCGCGCGGUUUUUCCAGUUCUCCAUUUCCUUUGUUCCCGCCGUCCACAUUCACAUUUCCGUUUUCCGGCGAGUUGCUCACUUCCGCCAGUGCUCCUCCGACCUUCUUCCUAGGGUUGUUCCAUGGCUUGGUGGGAAGGCGUAGAGGAAACUCGUAUUCUCAUUGCUCCUGAUCACGGGGUAAAAGAAAAUGGUACUGGAUUCCUCCUUUCACUUCGCCAUCCAAAAUCAGGAAAUACAACAUGUUUCUUAUAUGUAAAUGAGAUGCUAGAGGAAAUUCACUGGUUUAAGCAGUCAUAUUCAUCGUGGUUUUUGGGAGACUAUGUUACUGAAGAUGGUCGUCUGUAUUCUGCCACACCAGUAGAUCCUGUAUUCAUUUUCUUGCCCAUUUUUGCGGAAGCUAGAAUGAAGAAGGGAGAUGAUCCUGGGAAAUUCAGGCAGUUAGAUGACAUAAUGUUUGUCAAUGGGUAUCCUGGAUAUCUGCAUUUACUGUCUCUUGCAGAGAAGUCUAUGCAAGUAGUUUGUGAGGUCAAAGAAGUUGGAUCAUCUAGGUUUUUUAGGCUUGAUGAUUCAAAGGUAUUGGCAUGGUUAUAUCACAAGGUAUGCCAGCUGAAAAAAACUCUAUGCACACUGGAUAAAAACUAUGCUGCAAGGGAAGAAAAAGAUACAUUAAGCGAUCCAGUUUCAAUACUAGGCGAAUACUUGAAGGAUAAACCUUGGUUGGAGCCUUUAUGUGACCAUCUCAAGUUAAAUUUUGCUGAAGCAACCAGAAAAGCAUCGGAUUCAGAAAAGCCUCCUUCAAGUAUAGAGAACAAUUUCGAUUCUAUCUCACAGGAUAAGUGUAGGAGUGGCGCAAAGAAUACAAGAAAUGGAAAGCAAGGCAAGAAGCCUAAGGUGGAGACAGAAUCACGGAACAUCAAGGACAUGUUUUCAAAGGCUAUAAAAAGCAAAAGAUGAAGCAUUUCAGAUAUCUGAUGAUUUAAAAGCCUACAAAUUAGGUCAUGAUUUAAAAGCCUACAAAUUAGGUCAUCACAGUCUCAUUUGUUCAACUGCAAGUGAAUUGGGUCAGCAUUAACUCACGCUCACCAUGUAAUGCCUCUCCCCUUUACUUUUCCAUCCAAUAGAAGCCAAGUGAUUCUCACUUUACGUGUAGGUAAAUGAGGCAAUCCAUAGAUGGAAUGGCAGAAUUGGAUUCCAAACCGAUUUCUCAAGCAUCAUUGAGGCAGGACUUUGAUCUUCCUACUUCCAUCUAAUCUGACGUGCUUAAAUGGACACUUACCAUGUGACUUAAGGGCAUGUUUGAGUUAUUCUAAAUCGUGAAAAUCACUUUUGUGGUUUUUAAAAUAGCUUUGACACAUGUUUUCUAUUGAAUGAUACGAAAAUUAUAUUUAAAAGUGUAAAAUUAAAUAUUAAAUUAAUUUUAUAUGAUUAACAAUAUUUCAAGCUGAUUUU